GACGAACGCUGGCGGCGUGCCUAAUACAUGCAAGUCGAACGAGAGCGACUGGUGCUUGCACUGGUCAAUCUAGUGGCGAACGGGUGAGUAACACGUGGGUAACCUGCCCAUCAGAGGGGGAUAACAUUCGGAAACGGAUGCUAAAACCGCAUAGGUCUUCGAGCCGCAUGGCUUGAAGAGGAAAAGAGGCGCAAGCUUCUGCUGAUGGAUGGACCCGCGGUGCAUUAGCUAGUUGGUGAGGUAACGGCUCACCAAGGCCGUGAUGCAUAGCCGACCUGAGAGGGUGAUCGGCCACAUUGGGACUGAGACACGGCCCAAACUCCUACGGGAGGCAGCAGUAGGGAAUCUUCCGCAAUGGACGCAAGUCUGACGGAGCAACGCCGCGUGAGUGAAGAAGGUUUUCGGAUCGUAAAACUCUGUUGUUAGAGAAGAACAAGUGCUAGAGUAACUGUUAGCGCCUUGACGGUAUCUAACCAGAAAGCC
rnacentral:rRNA from 1 species